rnacentral:rRNA from 1 species
UACAGAGGUCUCAAGCGUUGUUCGGAUUCAUUGGGCGUAAAGGGUGUGUAGGUGGCGCCGUAAGUCGGGUGUAAAAUUUCGGAGCUUAAACUCCGAAACUGCAUUCGAUACUGCGGUGCUUGAGGACUGGAGAGGAGACUGGAAUUCAUGGUGUAGCAGUGAAAUGCGUAGAGAUCAUGAGGAAGACCAGUGGCGAAGGCGGGUCUCUGGACAGUUCCUGACACUGAGACACGAAGGCCAGGGGAGCAAACGGG